UUCGCUCGACACAGCACGAAACGGGUUAGUCGUGCGACAGAGAGUGGAUCCAGCGCCCGUGGAGAGGAGGAGAUCCUGCGAGGGGAUCCAAUCGACGAGCGCAUGAUGCGGGCGAUUGGUCUUCUGACCAAGAUCCUUUCCGCUGAAUCCAGCCGAUGCGCCCAAGGAAAUCCAGCAGAUGUGUGGUGCGGGUGGGGAUCCAGCGGACGCGUGCGAUGAGGGUGACUAAAGGGCCGCUCCAUCGAGCCGAGGCAGGCAAUCUACCUGCAAGGUGGAGUACGAGGGAGGGACGCGGGCGAUGGCCGACGCCUCAUCUGAUGGAAACUGCUCCAUUGAGACUUGAAAGACGCAAUUAUACUUCGGCCGUUAUACUUCAUUUUCUGAGCGCCCAUUCAUGGCGAGUGAUGUGCUGAUCCUUUCCGGCGCCGAGUGGUGCAACAUAUCUUUUCGCGAGCACCUUCUCGUUGCAGCAUGGUGGCCACGCCUGACGGCUUUACUGUUCAUGGUAGAGCAGUGAUCAGCGGCAAGAGAGAUGGGGGAAAUAAUAGGGUUUACAAGUAGGUACAAAUCUUCAGAGACUAUAAACACCAGGUCUGGAGGGUUGAAACAGAUUCCAAGCACAUCUUCUUGGGAUGCAAAGAACGAAUUUAAGCUGGUAUUUCUUAAUUAAUUGAACACCAGGUCAGGAGAGUUGAAACAGAUUCCAAGCACUGAGUCAUGGUGGAGCUGAUGUGUUCUUUCUAUACGUAUUCCCUGGGAGAUGAUCACUUAAUCUGUAAAAUUUCAUAGUUCCCGCUGGGAGAGUUCAUGCAGAUUUGCUUCCUCAUGUAUAAUUAUAAGUUGUCUAUUCACAAACGUUCAGUUCAGCUGCUGCAGAUGAUGCUUGGUUAUUGAGGUACUGCCAGUACAUAUGUUAACUCUAAACUGGACCAUUGAUUCAGCAACACUACUUUUUGUUUGACUGUAUCUUCAGCAAGGGUACUCUUAUUUCAUGAUUCUAUA